rnacentral:lncRNA from 1 species
AUUUCCUUCUCUUUUCUCCCAUGUUUAACUAACCCACAUCCUCCUCAGUGAGUCUCCUCCUCAGUCUCUCUUCCAGAGGCUCAGACACGCAGCACAGGAGAAGUCAGUCUAGUCAGUCUGUCGACACUCCUCCCCACCCUCGUCGUCUGUGAAAAACAGCCCAUUCAAGCCAAAACAAACGAUCGCCACCAAAACAAAAGAUCGCCAGCCCCGCCCGCUCCUCUCCCCCCGCCCGACGCAAAUAAUCAACACAAGGUCAUUAUCAUCGUUCCAGUGGUUUGCCUCUGCAGGUUGAUGAAACAGAUACAACGCUUGUGAGUACUUCAUUAUUCAUUUGAAUCCAUAAAUGCAAUUAAUUAAGCUUAAGUGUGCAAUAAAUCUGAUUAGCCAGUCGGUUCCCAGAACACCAUAAAAUCCACACAGGUCUUAUUCCCUUUAAUUAAUUUGUGGAGAGGGAGGGGGCAAAUACCCAUGCAUACGUUAAUGUAUGCACACAAACACACACACAGUGCUUGACUAUGACUGAAAUAGGUCCCAGUACUCAUUUUGGGUGCCGGUACAGUUUAUAUUUAGGUACAGGUGCUCCACAAUAAUAUUCUAUAACAGGAACAAGAGCUCUAGCAGUACUCUGCUCCAGUGAGCUCCUACCCAAGUCAAGCACUGUACACACACACACUCUCUGUAACGGCGUUCGUCUGUUGAAGGAGAGUCGGACCAAAAUGCAGCGUGGUGGUUACUCGUGUCUUUUAAUGAAGAAUAGCGAUACAUGAAAUAACUAUAUAUAAACAAAACAACAAACGGAACGCGAAAACCUAUUACAGCCUAUCUGGUGAAACUACACAGAGACAGGAACAAUCACCCACAAAAUACACAGAGAAACCCUGGCUACCUAAAUAUGGUUCCCAAUCAGAGACAACGAGAAUCACCUGACUGAUUGAGAACUGCCUCGGGCAGCCAAGCCUAUGCUAGACACACCCCUAAUCAGCCACAAUCCCAAUGCCUACAAAAACCCCAAUACGACAACACAAUAAACCCAUGUCACACCCUGGCCUGAACAAAUAAUUAAAGAAAACACAAAAUACUAAGACCAAGGCGUGACACUCUCACACACACAAACAG